AACAGGGGUGCUCUUCAGAGCUGAGAAAAGACCCUUAUCACCUGAUCUAGGUAACACUAGCGUAGGGAGUUC
rnacentral:ncRNA from 1 species